UACGUAGGGUGCAAGCGUUAAUCGGAAUUACUGGGCGUAAAGCGUGCGCAGGCGGUUUUGUAAGUUUGUCGUGAAAUCCCCGGGCUCAACCUGGGAAAUGGCGAUGAAGACUGCAAGGCUAGAAUCUGGCAGAGGGGGGUAGAAUUCCACGUGUGAGCAGUGAAAUGCGUAGAGAUGUGGAGGAACACCGAUGGCGAAGGCAGCCCCCUGGGUCAAGAUUGACGCUCAUGCACGAAAGCGUGGGGAGCAAACA
rnacentral:rRNA from 1 species